UGAGUAACGCGUAUCCAACCUUCCCACUUAUUGUGGGAUAACCUGCCGAAAGGCAGACUAAUACCGCAUAGUCUUCGAUGACGGCAUCAGAUUUGAAGUAAAGAUUUAUCGGUAAUGGAUGGGGAUGCGUCUGAUUAGCUUGUUGGCGGGGUAACGGCCCACCAAGGCGACGAUCAGUAGGGGUUCUGAGAGGAAGGUCCCCCACAUUGGAACUGAGACACGGUCCAAACUCCUACGGGAGGCAGCAGCC
rnacentral:rRNA from 1 species